UCAUAGGGAUUUGGGAACUGCUUCUAGUC
rnacentral:piRNA from 1 species